rnacentral:rRNA from 1 species
UUGAACGCUGGCGGCAGGCCUAACACAUGCAAGUCGAACGGUAACAGGAAACAGCUUGCUGUUUCGCUGACGAGUGGCGGACGGGUGAGUAAUGUCUGGGAAACUGCCUGAUGGAGGGGGAUAACUACUGGAAACGGUAGCUAAUACCGCAUAACGUCGCAAGACCAAAGAGGGGGACCUUCGGGCCUCUUGCCAUCGGAUGUGCCCAGAUGGGAUUAGCUAGUAGGUGGGGUAACGGCUCACCUAGGCGACGAUCCCUAGCUGGUCUGAGAGGAUGACCAGCCACACUGGAACUGAGACACGGUCCAGACUCCUACGGGAGGCAGCAGUGGGGAAUAUUGCACAAUGGGCGCAAGCCUGAUGCAGCCAUGCCGCGUGUAUGAAGAAGGCCUUCGGGUUGUAAAGUACUUUCAGCGGGGAGGAAGGGAGUAAAGUUAAUACCUUUACUCAUUGACGUUACCCGCAGAAGAAGCACCGGCUAACUCCGUGCCAGCAGCCACGGUAAUACGGAGGGUGCAAGCGUUAAUCGGAAUUACUGGGCGUAAAGCGCACGCAGGCGGUUUGUUAAGUCAGAUGUGAAAUCCCCGGGCUCAACCUGGGAACUGCAUCUGAUACUGGCAAGCUUGAGUCUCGUAGAGGGGGGUAGAAUUCCAGGUGUAGCGGUGAAAUGCGUAGAGAUCUGGAGGAAUACCGGUGGCGAAGGCGGCCCCCUGGACGAAGACUGACGCUCAGGUGCGAAAGCGUGGGGAGCAAACAGGAUUAGAUACCCUGGUAGUCCACGCCGUAAACGAUGUCGACUUGGAGGUUGUGCCCUUGAGGCGUGGCUUCCGGAGCUAACGCGUUAAGUCGACCGCCUGGGGAGUACGGCCGCAAGGUUAAAACUCAAAUGAAUUGACGGGGGCCCGCACAAGCGGUGGAGCAUGUGGUUUAAUUCGAUGCAACGCGAAGAACCUUACCUGGUCUUGACAUCCACAGAACUUUCCAGAGAUGGAUUGGUGCCUUCGGGAACUGUGAGACAGGUGCUGCAUGGCUGUCGUCAGCUCGUGUUGUGAAAUGUUGGGUUAAGUCCCGCAACGAGCGCAACCCUUAUCCUUUGUUGCCAGCGGUCCGGCCGGGAACUCAAAGGAGACUGCCAGUGAUAAACUGGAGGAAGGUGGGGAUGACGUCAAGUCAUCAUGGCCCUUACGACCAGGGCUACACACGUGCUACAAUGGCGCAUACAAAGAGAAGCGACCUCGCGAGAGCAAGCGGACCUCAUAAAGUGCGUCGUAGUCCGGAUUGGAGUCUGCAACUCGACUCCAUGAAGUCGGAAUCGCUAGUAAUCGUGGAUCAGAAUGCCACGGUGAAUACGUUCCCGGGCCUUGUACACACCGCCCGUCACACCAUGGGAGUGGGUUGCAAAAGAAGUAGGUAGCUUAACCUUCGGGAGGGCGCUUACCACUUUGUGAUUCAUGACUGGGGUG